rfam:Haematospirillum jordaniae strain H5569, complete genome.
GGCGGGAGGGCGGCGAAUACAACACCCGCAAGGGAAAUAAGCCCGCUCGACUGCCUGACUAGUGCCAGUGCAUCUCGGGUCUUUAGCCUCCCGCCACCAGCGG